rnacentral:snoRNA from 1 species
UCUUCCUCCCCUAGAGUGUUGCAGAUGUGGCUGCUGUGUCACAUGUGCAUCAGUAGGUGGCAGAGAGGACAGAGGCUAUGUUUAUACUCAGUGUUCGGAUCUGUGAACAUCCGAAUGAAUGAUUAGUAGCCUAACAUU